AGUGAGGAAUAUUGGGCAAUGCCCGCAAGGGUGACCCAGCAACGCCGCGUGGAGGAUGAAUGUCGUAAGAUUGUAAACUCCUGUUAGAGGGGAAGAAUAGUACCGGUUGGACCGGUAUAUGACUGUACCCUCAGAGAAAGCCCCGGCUAACUACGUGCCAGCAGCCGCGGUAAUACGUAGGGGGCAAGCGUUGUCCGGAUUUACUGGGUGUAAAGGGCGCGCAGGCGGGAUAAAAAGUCAGUGGUGAAAUCCUACAGCUUAACUGUAGAACUGCCUUUGAUACUUUUAUUCUUGAGUUCGGGAGAGAGAGACGGAAUUCCAGGUGUAGUGGUGAAAUACGUAGAUAUCUGGAAGAACACCAGUUGCGAAGGCGGUCUCUUGGUCCGACACAGACGCUGAGGCGCGAAAGCGUGGGGAGCAAACA
rnacentral:rRNA from 1 species